GAGACCUCGACCCGCCUCUCCCGCGCGGUCCCCGUCACGGCGCCAGCGGGUAGCCAUGAUGGGCCGCCUGCUGCGGUGCCUGUGGCAGCGAUGGCGCCGUUACAAGUACCGCUUCGUUCCCUGGAUCGCGCUGAACUUAAGCCACAACCCGAGGACUCUUCGAUAUGUUCCAGAGGAAUCCAAAGACAAAAUUAUCUCAGAUGAAGAUGUCCUAGGAACAUUACUGAAAGUUUUCCAGGCUCUAUUCUUAAAUGAUUUCCAUAAACAGUCAGAUAUCUUGACUAUCCUUCCAGAACCCGUUAAGUCAAAAUAUCAAGACCUGCUGGCAGUUCAGUAUCAAAGGGUGAAUCUACUUGAAAACAAACAUCAACAGCAAAAUAUCUUUAAACCAGAAGAAAUUCUUUAUAAGACAUUGGGUUUCAGUGUUGCUCGAGCAACUAGCUCACUGAUUUCUGCUGGAAGAGGUGUCUUCGUUACUAAAGGAUUGGUACCAAAAGGCGCAGUUGUAUCUAUGUAUCCUGGUACAGUAUAUCAAAAGUAUGAGCCAAUCUUUUUCCAGUCCAUUGGAAAUCCAUUUAUUUUUAGAUGCCUGGAUGGGGUACUCAUUGAUGGAAAUGACAAAGGGAUAUCAAAGGUUGUGUACAGAUCUUGUAAUGGAAGAGAUCGACUUGGACCUUUAAAAAUGAGUGAUAGUACAUGGCUAACAUCAGAAAUUCAUAAUCCACUGGCCAUCGGACAGUAUGUCAACAAUUGUUCAAAUGACAGAGCAGCUAAUGUCUGUUAUCAGGAAUUUGAUGUGCCUGCAGUUUUCCCUGUAGAACUGAAGCAGUAUCUUCCAAACAUUGCCUACAGUUAUGAAAAACAAAGAAUUUUAUUUUGAGACAGGGUCUCACUAAAUUGCUCAGGCUGGUCUUGAAUUUUCUUUUAUCCUCUUGCCUCAUCCACCAGAAUAGCUGGGAUCGCAGCCCACUUCGAUGUGUUGUUCUUAUUGCACUUAGGGAUAUUGAGCAAGGAGAAGAGCUUUUUUCAAACUACUACACAAUUGUCAGCUAACUUGGCGAAUUAGAAAUUAGGUUUUUUACUUAGCUAUUAAAUCUAAGUGUAUUUUUGUUAAUCACUUCUCUGAGUUCUACCUGUAGAACAAAUAUUUUGAAAUCUAAUGGAGUAUGUUUUUAUUAAUAUAUAUUUACGUUCCAUUUUCAAUGAUAAAAGUUAUUUGCUUCAUUACAAUUUCAAACUUGUAAUGCAAUUUGAGUUCUAAUUGAUUUUCACUUAAAUACACAAUAACUUAUUAAAACUACUUGGACUUAUAGUUUCAA